GUCUUUUCUGGUCACCUAUCAUGUGUAGUGGUUAGUGACGCUGUCUGCUGUGCUGUAGAGCCCGGGUUUGAAUCCCGGAGAAGACA